rnacentral:lncRNA from 1 species
GCCGCCGCCCGCGCUUCGCAACAAAGCCGGCUGCGGAGCCAUGGUCCACGGCGCCCGCCCGCGACCCCGCCGCCCCGCAUGGUAGCCGGAACGUCUCUCCCUUACCAGCCUUCGCUUCCUGGUGCCCAGCUCUUAGGACCGUGUGUGACUCUGGCCUUCUACCGAGACAACAGAGAAACGCACAGCAACUCGCAUGGAGGAAUCGGCGAAAUGGCUCCGACCGCGGCGCUAGGGGGCGGGGCCAGCGAGCGGUGUUGAAAGCAGCAGGGGCCUAGAAGACAUUAAACCGAUACCACAGAAAUACAAAGGAUCAUUAGAGACUAUUAUGAACAACUAUAUGCCAACAAAUUGGAAACCAAAUGGAAAUGGAUAAAUUCCUGAACAGAUACAACUUACCAAAAUUGGACCAAGAAGAAAUAGAAAACCUGAAAAGACCAACUAUGAGUAAUGAGAUUAAAUCAGUAAUAUAGAGUCUCCCAUCAAAGAAAAGUCCAGGCCCUGAUGGCUUCACUGCUGAAUUCUACUGAACAGUUAAAGAAGAACUCAUACCAGUUCUCAAACUCAUCCUGUGAGGGCAGCAUUACCCUGAUACCAAAACUAGAUAUGGACACAAGAAAAAAAAUCUAUAGGCCAGUAUCCCUGAUGAACAUAGAUGCAAGAAUCCUCAACAAGACCAGGUGUGGUGGUUCAUGCCUGUAAUCCCAGCACUUUGGGAGGCCAAGGCAGGUGGAUCACCUGAGGUCAGGAAUUUGAGACCAGCCUGGCCAACAUGGCAAAACCCUGUCUGUACUAAAAAUACAAAAAUUAGCCGGGCAAGGUGGCGUGUGCCUGUAAUCCUAGCUACUUGGGAGGCUGAGGCAGGAGAAUUGCUUGAACCUGGAGGGAGGAGGGGCAGAAGUUGCAGCGAGCUCAGAUCGUCCCACUGCACUCCAGCCUGGGUGACAGAGUGAGACUCCAUCUCAAAAUAAGUAAAUAAAUAAAGAGACUCAACUAGCAUAAA